rnacentral:rRNA from 1 species
GAUGAACGCUGGCGGCGUGCCUAAUACAUGCAAGUCGAGCGAAUGGAUUAAGAGCUUGCUCUUAUGAAGUUAGCGGCGGACGGGUGAGUAACACGUGAGUAACCUGCCCAUAAGACUGGGAUAACUCCGGGAAACCGGGGCUAAUACCGGAUAAUAUUUUGAACUGCAUGGUUCAAAAUUGAAAGGCGGCUUCGGCUGUCACUUAUGGAUGGACCCGCGUCGCAUAAGCUAGUUGGUGAGGUAACGGCUCACAAAGGCAACGAUGCGUAGCCGACCUGAGAGGGUGAUCGGCCAAACUGGGACUGAGACACGGCCCAGACUCCUACGGGAGGCAGCAGUAGGGAAUCUUCCGCAAUGGACGAAAGUCUGACGGAGCAACGCCGCGUGAGUGAUGAAGGCUUUCGGGUCGUAAAACUCUGUUGUUAGGGAAGAACAAGUGCUAGUUGAAUAAGCUGGCACCUUGACGGUACCUAACCAGAAAGCCACGGCUAACUACGUGCCAGCCGCCGCAGUAA